GGCAGUCUGGUGAUUAAAGUGUGUGUGUGUGUGUGGGCAGUUCAGUGUGCUUGCAGAUUAAUGUGCGCAUGUGCCUCUGCUGAACAUGUGUCUAUUAAAGCAGAGUCUGAUCUCAGAGAGACUCAGAUGGAGAGACAGAGAGACAAACAGACAGAUAGACAGACAGACAGACACCAUGUCUCCCUCCCAGUCCUCCCUACUUCUGCUACUGCUGAUGGUCUCCUGCUCCUGGGCCUCACACUUUUUAGGAGGAACCAUGACCUUCAACCCCAGAGGGACCAACCCAGACGGAACCUACAGGGUGGACCUCCGUUACAAGACAGCCUUCCACUCUACCGUCUGCCUAACUGAUACCUGGUCGUGUAUCAGUGGGGACUGUGGGAAUGAGAUCAGUUUAGUGGUUAACACAGUGGACCAGGGGAUAUCUGAGGACUGGUGUCAGACAGAGGGAGUCAUGACUAGACACGUCUCCAAUAACACACAGACUUUUGAUCUGCUAUUGGAUGGCGGAAACUGGAUAAACAAUGUUAAUUCUGUUAGUGCUUGGAGGCUGUGGACUCAUGUGGAUCUUGGGGUCAGGUCUGACACGAAGACAAUCAACCGAUCUCCACAGACCACUGUCGUACCUCUGAUGCGUGUCCCUGCUAAUUGUCCAAGAGAUUUCAACCUGUUGUCGUUUGAUCCAGACGGGGAUGAGGUCAGAUGCAGAUAUGCAGUACCAACGGACGAGUGUGUCACAUCAAGUGACCUUCCUAAUGACUUCACUCUACAAGAGGUGUGAGUGUUGACGAGGACAAGGCUCGAGAUCACUCUGUCAUGCUGAUUGAGUUCGAAUAACAGACUGGAAGCUUCAAAAGGAGGGUGGUGCUUGGAAUCAUUGUUCUUCCUCUGUCAACCAUGGUUACCUGCAAGGAAACACGUGUCGUCAUCAUUGCUUUGCACAAAAAGGGCUUUACAGGCAAGGAUAUUGCUGCCAGUAAGAUUGCACCUAAAUCAACCAUUUAUCGGAUCA
ensembl:lncRNA